UUGGUCCAGGUUUCUAUUAACCGGUUGGGAAGGGAUAAUUCCCUGAUGAUCCCAAUUUUCAGGGUAACUAAUUUGGUCCCAAGGGAUAACUUUAUUACAGGCCAUAUUAGAUCUUCCCAAAUUAGUUUCGAUAAUAGUAGUAUUACCUUUAUUACUAAUUAAUUUAGCAUUAGGACUUAAAGUGUUCAUAACUUUAAAUUGAAUUCUAUAAGCGACAUUCAAAACCUCUGACCCAGAAAGAAAUUCAUAUCCUUUAGUGUCAAGGUCCAUCAUAACGCUUUGCAUGAUAUUAUCAUCGGAUAAAGAUAAUUCCAGAUUAGGAUAUAUAUUACAGUAAACAGGUCCAUUACUGGUAGUGGACUCCAUGAUACCCAUCAAGGAUUUUUGAUAGUUGGUACACCUAGCAUCCCUAAGGGCUAGAAGAAAACAACAAUCAAUACCUUUUAGGUGUAAAGGUUUUACUGCAAUCUGAAUUAAUCCUAUAUGGAUGUAAUGAUAAUUUUGUCGAUAUCUAUUAAUAUCUUGUUCGGUUAUUAAAGGAAUAGAUCUUUUAUUACCGUUAAUUGGCAUGAUAUGUUCUACUGUCUUAAUAGACAUAGCAACUUUGUAAUCAAAAGAACCAAUAUUAUAAAUUCUUUUUGGUUCAAUCUUGGGCAUAUCCCAAUUUAAUAAUUCAUUUUCCAUUUUCUCUAUAUUAGAGAUUUCGAUACAUUCUUCAUUCUUUAGAAAUUUCUUUUUAUUUCUAAACAUAUUAAACAUCUUAAGAUAAUUUAAUAAUGGAAAGAUAAAAUCAAAUAAAACGUAAGAGAAGAUGUCAAUAAGGUGUUAGGGAUCAUGUAGUUUUUAACACAGAGGUAAUUAUCCAGAAAAGAGAAUAGUAAGAUUAUAGUUCUAGAUCAAUAUCCAUGAUUAAUACUGACAGUCAACGAUUUACGUCACAACUAACCACCAUUCUAUAUCUCAAUACAUGAUUUAUUCCAACAGUCAACGAUUUACGUCACAGCCAAUAAUAAUUUCAUAUCCAGAUUUAUGAUGAACUCCGACCAUCACGAAUUACGGACAAAAGUCCCUAAACGCCUAACGGCCAUCUGCCUGCGGCUUAAACGGGUAGUCACCACAUGACUAUGCCUUCAUUCAUCAUAAAUCAGAACACAGAACUAUUACAACCGGAGACUACAAGUAGUCCAACGCGACGAAGUCAAAACUAAUCAUGAACCAAAACAUAAAACAAUUAUUAGUCGGAGACUAGAAAUAGUCCAACGCGACGAAGUCAAAAGACUAAUCAUAGAUCUCAACCAGAGUAUAGAUAAUAUUACUAACAAGUUAUCAAACAAUAGAGGUCGAUUUACACGUAAGUGCUCAGACCCUCAUUACUGCCACUGUCAGAGGCUAUCAAUAAUAGCUUGACAAUUGAUUCCCCAUAUAAAUGGGUUGCAGUACUCCAAAGGAGUUGCUUCAUUGACGGUCCUUGUUUAGUAAUAUUCUCCAUUUCUUAGUAAAGAACUAAAACAGUACCAUCGUUCUCAUCUUGAACAAUUACUGUUGAUUAAGCCACUACAUGUUAUAUAUAUAUAUAUAUAUAUAUAUAUAUAUAACGUGUCGGUGUCCUACUUUUUCAGAAAAUUACGUGUCGGCGUGUUCGUGUCGUGUCGGUGUCCGGUGUCCGUGUCCGUGCUUCAUAGCUUCUAACCCUAUACUACAAUCACUUAAUUUACAACCAAUGGAAGAGAAGUUCACCUUAUAUACUGUAGUGAUUGUUUGUGCAUACAACUAGUUAAAUCUAACAAAUGACAAACUUCCAUCUCUAUCAGCGAUUUUUGAUAAUCAAUUCUCUGACACACUUGUCAGAAACACCCUCUGCGCCUCAUAUGAAACUUCCAUGAUCACUCGUGCUCAUAGUACAUUCUGUGCAACAUCCCCUUGACAUAUAAAAGCCAUAUCUCAAGUCCACUGCUUAGGAUAUUUAGUCAACUGUUGUCGAGAGAAUUUAUCCUAUGCAGGUAAAAAGUUAGAAAACAUCAAUGAGUACUUCCUACAUAUGACUUCAUUUAGCAAUUUGGAGAUGAAAAAGUUAUGCCAGUCUAAAGUUUCAAAAGUACACAAUUUAACAUGUAUACCAAUAACUUAUUCCCCAUCAGAUUCACUUGGCCAGACCUUCAUGUUAUUGCAUUAUGGUACUUGGGAUGGCAUUGACAUCCAUGCAUACAGUUUAAUUCCCUUACUAGUUAAGACAGUUCAACAUCAUUAUUAUUAUGCACAAACUCUUUUUUCUGUUUGUAUCCUUUGUUUUGUAAUAGGAUGUGUGCUUUUGACUGAAAAGGAAUCAACCUAUUGUGUUUGUAUAUUUUAUUAUAACAUAGACCCUAAGAAUGACUACAUCUAAACUCUAAAGAGGUUUUUCUUUCUAAAACUUGCAUUCAUUUGCAGGUAGAAGAACAUAUGGUUGGACAAGAUGGUGAGUUUUUUUCUACAGAAAUAGAAGUAAUUUCUUUAAGACUAAGAUUCUAAUUGUCUCCAAUUUUCUUUUACGGGUGAUGGAAGGUCAGAUUUUGGUCAAAGUCGGAUGAAAGGCAGCAGCAUUCCAAUGAAUGGGCAGUAAGUACAACCUUUCUGGUAGAUCUUACACUUUCAAGUCAAGAACUGUUUGUUAUGAUCAGAAGUAGAUAGACAUUUGUCUGCACUGAUUUUAUAUAACCUACCUGUUGACUUUUGCCUUAUGCUUAUUUUUGUCCAGGGGAAAACCCAAAAAGGGGAGGACCGGACCAAGAGAUAUUAAAAGAUUCAGGCAAUCGAGUGAACCAAAUAUGGACGACGACGACGAUGAUCUUGAUUUGAGCAUGAGAUGAAAAUAGAAAUUUUAGGCUUCAUCAGUGCCUCUCUGGCAUUGCCUUAAAAGUCACUGCAGAGCUUAUUUUCAUUGCAACCCAUUCCAAUUCUAAAGCUUUUAUUUUCUCAUCAAGGAUAAAGAUGCGCAUUGUGUUCAGUAUCCACCCUUGAAUUGAAACCUUUUUCCCUAUCUUGUGCUAUUUGAUUGAGAUGAUACUUGCAAAAGGAUGUCAGAUAACUGUUUGAAAUUCAAAACAGAAAUUUUGAAUCAAUGCUUUCUUAUUGCUCAUGUAUACUCCUGAUCUGAGAAAGAUGUUAGGUUUAUACAUUGAAACCUACCUUCCAUGUUUUGAUUUAUUUCAGUGUAAGAAAACG
rnacentral:lncRNA from 1 species